GUGAGACCAGGACAAUGGAUUACAUUAGAGAAGGGAAAGGUAAAGACUGAAAAUGCUUCUCUGAUGGGAAAGCAACUUCCUAUAUCCCACGAGCUCGUGUUACUAUAAUACUAAUACUAAUAGGACUCUGACAAUGCCCGGCGCGUAGCAGUUCCUGGUAGACAGGUGACAAAACAAAUAAAUAUAAAUAAAAUAAGAAUAAAAUAAAAACAGGGAUGAAUAAAAUGGAAAGGAGUGAUGAGCUCUUUGCUGCUGUGUAACCAAAAGUACAACAGUAACUGAAAUAAAACAGGUACAGACAUCUCUGAGACAGCAGAUUAGUGGGCACCUGGCUUAGAUCCCACCCAUUUAAAGGGCAGCUUUGAAAGUAAUUAUCGGGAGGUCUCUUCUAACCUGAAAGACAAGUGAACCUUUCACUGAUUUGUCUCUUUAAGGGUCACUGACAGGUGUCACGGGUCUGGUGGCUUGCAGGCAUAACACAACAGGAACAUUCGAAGCAGGAGUGGACGAGGAAACGGCAGAUUUGUCCGCUGUGAUGAUGGGAUUACCUAACUCUGUCACCAGACACCUCGGUGUCCCUCCCUUUACUGCCUCUCCAGCUACGCUCUCUACCAGCGUCUCCCAAGUCUGCCAUCGUUUUCACACCCAUGGAGGAUGAACUGGAAGUGCCAAGAAAAAUAACAGAGAAUCUUUGGAAGGAGAUAGAAACCGAAUUAAAUGAGGCUCCAUUCUGAAGAUUUUCUAAGCUCUCGGAUCCCAUCAUCACAAAGCAUCCAAAGAGAAAAGAUGGACUUCACUCUCCCUGUAUUAUAACAAAGAGCUCAGACUAGCCUCUUAUCAGUGCUUUGUCGUAUCAGAGUAAGUGACUCUAUAGACAUGCUCUGUUCACCUGCUUUCCCUCCUUGCUUCAACUUACUCCCCAUUGCCUAUGCACAUCCACUCCCCACGGCAAGAUGCAGUCAAGGACCACAUAAAGGAAGAUUUCUAUUUGAAUUUGCCAGAAGUGGAGCCGUUCUAAAGUUCACCAUAAAUGCUGGGCUGGAAGCCGUCCUGAUAACAUAGGUGUUUCUCUCAUAUUCAAGUCUAGCGAUAGAAGAAAGAAUUACUGCUCAAAGUGUCUCCAAGGGCAGAAAAAAAAUCAAUAUAUGAAAUAAAAUUUAUGAAAAUUUC
rnacentral:lncRNA from 1 species